UACAGAGGUCUCAAGCGUUGUUCGGAUUCAUUGGGCGUAAAGGGUGCGUAGGCGGCGCGGUAAGUCGGGUGUGAAAUCUCGGAGCUUAACUCCGAAACUGCAUUCGAUACUGCCGUGCUUGAGGACUGGAGAGGAGGCUGGAAUUUACGGUGUAGCGGUGAAAUGCGUAGAUAUCGUAAGGAAGACCAGUGGCGAAGGCGGGUCUCCGGACAGUUCCUGACGCUGAGGCACGAAGGUCAGGGGAGCAAACGGG
rnacentral:rRNA from 1 species